CCGUAAACCUAAAUAGACAUAGAACAAGAUUAUUCGCCAGAGUACUACUAGCAACAGCCUGAAACUCAAAGGACUUGGCGGUGCUUCAUACCCCUCUAGAGGAGCCUGUUCUGUAACCGAUAAACCCCGAUCAACCUCACCAACCCUUGCUACUCCAGUCUAUAUACCGCCAUCUUCAGCAAACCCUAAAAAGGAAUAAAAGUAAGCAUAACUACCCCACGUAAAAACGUUAGGUCAAGGUGUAACUCAUGGGGUGGGAAGAAAUGGGCUACAUUUUCUACAUUAAGAACACCCUUCAUACUCACACGAAAGUUUUCAUGAAACCUGAAAGCCAAAGGAGGAUUUAGUAGUAAAUUAAGAAUAGAGUGCUUAAUUGAAUAAGGCCA
rnacentral:rRNA from 1 species